rnacentral:rRNA from 1 species
CCUACGGGAGGCUGCAGUGGGGAAUAUUGCGCAAUGGGCGAAAGCCUGACGCAGCGACGCCGCGUGAGGGAUGAAGGUCGUCGGAGCGUAAACCUCUGUCAGCAGGGAAGAACGGUCACGGGGCUAAGCAGCAGUGAAUUGACGGUACCGGCAAAGGAAGCACCGGCGAACUCCGUGCCAGCAGCCGCGGUAAUACGGAGGGUGCGAGCGUGAAUCGGAAUUACUGGGCGUAAAGCGCUCGUAGGCGGUAUGUCAAGUAAAGGGUGAAAGCCCCGCGCGCAACGUGGGAACUGCCUUUGAAACUGGCAACCUGGAGUGUGUGAGAGGGUAGUGGAAUUC